UACGUAGGGCGCAAGCGUUGUCCGGAAUUAUUGGGCGUAAAGAGCUCGUAGGCGGUUUGUCACGUCGGGUGUGAAAGCCCGGGGCUUAACCCCCGGGUCUGCAUUCGAUACGGGCAGACUAGAGUGUGGUAGGGGAGAUCGGAAUUCCUGGUGUAGCGGUGAAAUGCGCAGAUAUCAGGAGGAACACCGGUGGCGAAGGCGGAUCUCUGGGCCGAUACUGACGCUGAGGAGCGAAAGCGUGGGGAGCAAACAGG
rnacentral:rRNA from 1 species